rnacentral:rRNA from 1 species
CGUCUGACGAGUGGCGGACGGGUGAGUAAUGUCUGGGAAACUGCCUGAUGGAGGGGGAUAACUACUGGAAACGGUAGCUAAUACCGCAUAACGUCGCAAGACCAAAGAGGGGGACCUUCGGGCCUCUUGCCAUCGGAUGUGCCCAGAUGGGAUUAGCUUGUUGGUGGGGUAACGGCUCACCAAGGCGACGAUCCCUAGCUGGUCUGAGAGGAAGGUCCCCCACAUUGGAACUGAGACACGGUCCAAACUCCUACGGGAGGCAGCAUG